CACUCUUGAAUUAAAUUUAGUACUUUGUAAACUUUUAUUUUAAAAAUAGAAAUAUUUUUGUUUGUCUAAAUUUAUGUCAGGAUUCCAUUUUAGGAAGACUCCAAAUUAGCAUGUUAAAAGUGAAAAUGCUGCUCCUCUCUUUCUCUAUUCUCUCCUCCAACCAUAUAUAUAUUCACAUGAUCUCUCUCCGAUUCGUAUCUUCUUUUGCCAAAAUCAUUCUUAUAAGCACGCACUUAUCGUUAAUUAUUGUCAUAAGAGAUAAUGACACUUACAUUUCUAUCCUUCAUAAUAAUUUAGUAGGAGGGCCAUUAGAUAUUAAUUCUUUCCAUUUAAUAUAUUUAUUUAUAAAAAAAGAUGUUUAGAGACCUAUAAAGAAAGCAAAAAAUAUUGGUGGGAUCUUUGUGCGAUCUUGCUAACAUAAUUUGGUUGUUAGUAAAAUAUGAGAUCACAAUCUGCUGUGCCUAUUAGCCUUUCAUUAAAUUUUUUCAUAAGCUAGGUCUUAAGUCAAAGUAAUUU
rnacentral:lncRNA from 1 species